rnacentral:tRNA from 1 species
GAACGAUUGGCGCAGUGGUAGCGCACCUGAUUCCAGUCCAGGCGGUCAUCCGUUCGAUCCGGAUAUCGUUCA